GGAGGAGCUGCUACUCAAGAAAGAGGAAGAGGCGGGCUUUUCCGACCCCCACGCCCCUGGGAUGGUAAAGCUGCAGCCCACCUCGUCCUGGGGCAGAGUCUCCUUGCCUGCCUGCUUGCAUCGCUCACCAGCGUCCUAUCCUAACACCUCUGUUUCGUGCCCAUCACUUUGUCUCUCGCUGAAUUCCUUCUGCGUGGAGACAUAGAGAACCUCAACCUCAGUGAGUCCAGACGCAGGAGGAGAGCGUUUCCCAGACUCCUUGCCCCUGAGUGAGGAUACGUGCCUGGUUCUGGCCAAGGGGCUGUGGCUGAUACAGCAGGUGUCACUCUGAGUCAAAGCAAAGGAUGUGCAGACAUGAAGUCUCCACGCUCUCUCUUCUUCACCCCUUGUCUCAAGGUGUCAGAGGCACCAGCUUAUGAGGGAUGUAUGAUUGUCAGCACCUCCACUUUACGGAAGAGGACACCUGGGUAUGAUGAUAAGCUGCCCAAGGUCCCAUAUCUGGUGCUUCAUAAUCCUGGCAAAGCCACUAAGCUGAGCAGAGCUGCAGAAAUUCCCUGGCUUUCCUACUGGAAGAUGUCGAUCAAUGAGGGCGCUCGCGGCCUUUGAUGUCAGGCAUCCACGCCCGCUUCUGUAAAGACUUUCGGCUCCACAAGAGAACGGGAAGUCACUGUGAAGAAAGAGGCAGGCGAUGUAACCGGAAAAGCGCAGGUUUGAUGUCAAACAGACCUGCGUGGUUCCACCGCUUUCCGACUGUGUGACACCUCCCUCCCCCACCCCCGGCCCAGUUGCUCUCUGAACCCAAGUCUUGGAAAAUGGAACCAAUAAUACCUGUUCUUCAAGACUGUUUCUGCUGGAAGCUCCAAGAUUCAUCUGAAGGCGUGAUCACAUCCUCGAUGUUGAGUGGACCAUGAGCCGGCUGCCAGAGACAGGGUUCCAAGCCGGGCCAGGCCCAUCCCAAUGCCCACCCGAAAAGACGGGACAGGGGAAAGAAACAAAAUCCUGGGGCUCCAUUGGCUUUCUUUUUGACUCCAGCUGAAGUUGCUGCAUAGUGUGGCCUUGCCAGUCCUCGCCUUGAAAAGGCUGGAAGCGACUGCCGUGAUGGAUCAUCUAAUCCCACAGCCUCAUUCUGCAGAGGACCCCGAGCCUCGACUUGGCCAAGGUCACACAGCUGGGCCACACCCAUGGCGUAUGGUUUUCAUAUGGAAUUGGAGCUGCAGUUGCCGGCCUGUGCCACAGCCACAGCAAGGUAGGAUCUGAGCCAAGUCUUUGACCUACACCACAUCUCACGGCAAUUCCAGAUCCCUGGACCCACUGAGUGAGGUAAGGGAUUGAACACGCACCCUUAUGGAUACUAGUUGGAUCACAACGGAACUCCCUGAAAAAUCAAGGUCUUUAAAGCAAUUCAUCAACCCCACCAACAUCUUGGCAUAAGAAAAUUGAUUCUGUAAGUCAAAAGAACUUAUAACAUGGUAUAUUGGGAGGAUGGCAGGGCUUGGUAAGUGGUAGCAACGCAGCUGGUAGAUUUUUCUUUGUUGUGUCCUUGUCCUUACGCUCUUUUUAGCCACAUUUUCAUUCAGGAUUCUUGGGUUGGAAGCAACAGAAAUGGACUCUUUUGGCCUUAAGCAAAAAGAAAAUUUGUUGAAAGGGCAUGGAGGAAUUCAUAGGAUUGACUAGAAGUUUGGAGAAGUAGGCUCAGGAGUCAAGGCAUUUAUGGAGGAGGGUAGGGUAGAGAGGUGAUAAAAAUAAUGCAACGGUCUUAUUUGGAAAUUGUACUGGAAUGUAAGAGUUUCAUCUUUCCUCCUCCCUCCCUCUCUCUCUCUUUCUGCCACUUCAUUCGAGAUUCCAAUUUCAGCGAAGGAGCAUCCAAUUGGCCUGUCUUGGUCAGAUUCCCACCACCCCCAUGGUUAGGGGAACACAGCAUAUUCGAAAUGGCAUUCCCACGAGGUACAUUCCAUGGAAAAGUAAUACCACAAAGAAAAUACGGACACAGUUAUCAAAGGAAGAUAAAACAGGUGCUGGGUAGCCAACAAUAGCCUAUUUCCACUAUAUCCUUUAAAAAAAAUCCCAGUAACUCUUCUAUGAUUACCGAUGUUUCAGGAGAGAAAUUUAACGAUGGAAGAGUGUAUACAUAGUGAUGAAAAGAAUGGGAGGAUUUAUAAGAUACAAGUCAUUUUCUUUGAGUUGUGGGACAAUGGUUGGGUCCAUUUUUCUUCUGUUGUUUUUUCCUAUAGAGCACAUUUAUAACCUUUUAAAAGUAAACUAUAUUUUCUACUUUAAGAUGAGUGAAAUGAGGGGGGAGUGUCCUUUUGACUGGGGACAUAGUCACUAGUUACUCUAUGUUAAUAACAGAAGCAUACGUUCCUCUCGAGGGGCAACAGUGUUCUUAUACAUUAAACUCUCAACAGAAACCAAAAGAACCACCACCAAAAAAAUCCCACCCAGUUUGGAAAGGACUUGUGCUUGUGGGUCGGGGGCAGAAGGAAGCAAUUUCCCUCCAUUUUCUGCCUGAGCAGGCCUUUUGCACUUUGAUAUUCGUUUCACUAAUAAGGUGUUUCAUUAUUUCUCCCACAAAAAGAGCUGGUGCUGUUAUGAGAUGCUGUUGAAGACUCUGGUUUGCCCAGAUGUGCCGCAGUGAAAACAGCCUUUCUCUGACGUGCAUGACUUGUGAGGAUGAUGGGACCUGUGGGAAGAGGGGAUCCUUUUUCAGAGUUUGGAAAGAGAGACAAAAUAACGCCAUCUGCCCUGCAUGGCUGACAGAAACACGUUCUUCCCUAAUCAGUGGGUCACUCACUUCCGCACUAUGUUGCAGGGAAGCAUCAUCUGAUUCCAAGCCUAAGGCUGGGUCAUCCGCGGCACUGACUUCUCCCGACCCUUCUCCGAGCUUCCCGUGCCAGUUUUCAUCAUCAAAUUUCUCUGCUCCCUUAGACCAGCGGAAAAGAAGUUAUGAGCUCUCUCCAUCAUUCGCCGGUCUCUUCGGCCCUUCCUCCUUUGAAGUUUUCUUAUUCGGGGUCUUUUUUCGCUUCUUCUCCAUGUUUCAUCCUCUCUCACUGUAACCUUUUUAUCUCUGGAGAGUUCUCUCUGUGCCUCUGGGCCCUUCUCUUUCUAGUUGGUUCUCAGAACCCAUUCUGGGAUUCUAUUUCAGUCCAUCCGUCUCUCCAACAGACCACGGGUGAAACCAGGGCCGGUAAUCAGUCCCAGCUGCUGGAGGCGUCCGCUCUGGGUCGGCCCCACGUUUGUGGGCUGAUGUUUUGCUUCCCAUAAUGCUCUGGGAGUUCUGCUGCUCAGAGCUUGGCUUGUGCUUUUUCUUCUCCUGCCAAGGGGCCCUGCUUCCAAAACCCAGAUUAGAAAACAUGGGACGUUAAAAAAAAAAAAAAAAAA
rnacentral:lncRNA from 1 species